rnacentral:pre_miRNA from 1 species
AGCUUUUUGAAUCCGUGCAGAGAUUUCGUCCGACACCAACACGUUGGGGCUGAUCAGACUUCAAAAAUAAGUGAAGUU